UCCCUCCGUCCAUGCCGCUUACGAUCCAGGAAGGCAGUAGGGGCGUGCGAGGGGAAUACGCCCCAGCCGCCAUAGUGGAGCCCUAUACCGCCGGCGAGAUCCGACAAGAGCCGCCGCCGCCGGGGUUCAAGAGGAACCGGCCACCACGACCUCCCUCCCUAGCCGACCGCCACCCACCUCCCCGGGCAGCCAUGUACAGCGGGGCGGCGACCACGUGCCUGGCAUAGGUGGGUCUCGGCCUCCCUCCUCCCUUCGUCCAAGGCUAGGAACUUCCCUCCCCUACCCGAUCUCCUCCCUUCAUCCAAGGCCACGAUCUCCCCUCCCCUACCCGAUCUCCUCCCUUCAUCCAAGGCCACGAUCUCCCCUCCCCUACCCGAUCUGACGGAGAGAGGGCCAGGCCUUGCCACUCCGGUGUUCGAUGUGGCCAGAUCUGGCCGGGGGACUCGCCGCAGAGCCUCCAUGUCGGCGGAACAGCAGCAGCCCGACAGAAGGUGGGUGCCCAAUCUCGCAUUUUGUGGUGAUUUUUCUAUAGUUAGAUUAGCACAGGGAGGGAGCAGUGCAGUGCGGAUUAGAAGAACGGACAUCAAACUCUCUGUUAGAUUAGUUCAUAUUAUACUGCCACUAUCAUAGUUCAUAUCAUAAUGUUGAUGCCUCUUUAGAUCCAGUGCUUAAAUAAGAUUAGGAGGAAGGGCAUCACACUCUCCGAGAGCAAACAAGAUACCACAUACCCAUCCUGUACUAUCACUAUGUUGUAUUAACAAAUCCGUGUUAUGUUGUAUUAACAAAUCUGUCUUUCUUUUUUCAUAUUAUGUAGGAUUCAGAUUUAUGGCAGGGACACAAUCAAAUUUAUACCAUACGUUGUGAUGAUACAAGGAAAGUAAACAUAGAUGCAUAUUUUGUUCAACGUGACGAUACAAGGGAGAGUUGGCCUACGUCGCCAACUGAUCUGCGGCAGCGUGGAAGGAGAGUUCAAAAGCACCAGGAGCGGCUGUUCUACUGCUGGUCGGAGGGAGAGCUUGGCAAGGGAGACAGAGGGAGCUCUACAACCACGAUCUUGGCAUACAACCCGAUGGCAUCAUGUCCACAUUAUAUAUUCUUCGGUAAUAUGUAAAGCCUAAGUGAGAGACACAAUGUCUUGAUUGUAGUCUUGCAGACUCCAUAUUUUUCAGCACGUACGUUCGCAAAAAAAAUUGAUCUCAGCAGGUUGGUGUUCAUGUACACGUUGCCAUUUGAGAAUAUACUGUGUAUUACUCAAAUCUCAAAACAAAUGGCCCAUUCUGACCAGACCAUAACUAUUCCGAAAGCAUUGAUAGGCUUUUUUAAACAUCAAGAUAUCUGAAUAUUUAUCUUAGCAGUGUCCAAAAACCAAAUGGUUAUGUUUGUUCAGAUUUUCCUCAUUUUUAUGUUCUUUGAAUUAUAGUGCUUGAGGUUAAUAAUAAAUGAUUGUUGGUAACUUAACUAGCUCUUGAGAAUAAUGUGUGAUAUAGGUUGCUCCUAUAUGUGUCAUUGACUAUGUUGCUUGUGGAGAGUAAUAAGGAUUUAUCUAGCUCAUGUACAUCUGAGCCUGAGACGGAGAGGACGACUGUCGUGGCUCCAUUGAUGAUAGUGGUUGCGACGCAGAGCCGUACGAAUGGACAACAAGCAAGCCAAGCACUCCCUGGGAAUCGCCGUGAUUCUGAAACGGGUGGCGGGUCCCUGCCUCUACCGCCCAUGAAGCUGACAACGAUCACGUGGUCGUCGUGCGACGACUGCGGAGGGGGGAGGGGGGCAGGCAGGGGGAGACUUAUAGGCGAGAACCUGCACGGAGGAGGAAGGAGACGCCUCAGGUGGAGAUGAUGACGACGACCGUGCCCCAUCACUAGCGGCGGUCACGACGUGCAGCUGCAGGACUAGAGAUCAUACAGGUCGGGCCGUUUCUGGUAGUUGUUUGCUUUGGUGGUGCUCUUGGGUUUACGAUUUCAAUAAAAUCCUGUUGCGAAGUGGAAGGUUAAUGUUAUUUCUCUGAUAUCAUAUUGUAUCUUCUUGGUUCAAGUAUUGAGAAAGUAACACUGCCGCAUAUGUAUUUACUUAGUUUGCCAAGCUGGUGAAAAUAUAUGUAAUUCAGACAUGAUAGACAGUCAAAUUUACAAGUAACUUUUAUAGUCAUAGGCUCAUAGCUAGCUUACUCUGGUUUACUUGGUCCAUGUAGAGUUGGAAUCUCAGAGCUACACAUUCAACCGGCUUGCUUUGAAAAUCGAGUAAAACUAAAGGAAUAGAGGUUUCAAAUGCAACAAGAGUUUAAUAGUGCUACAGAUAUGUGGAGCGGGCAAGAAUAGUUGGUCAGCCUUUAGUAACUACUAUUGAUGUUACUCCAGAUGCAAGUUUCUUGCAUGAAGCUGACUGUUGUUUAUUAUUUUUCUUCAUGCCAUAUUUCUUUGAGAUCUCCAAAUUAUCCCAGACUUGCUUCAUACUUUGGUGCCAUCUGCAUUACUGCAUAUACUAUUCACUAUUCAGACUGGCUCUGUAAGUGUUUUCCUUUCUGAUAUCCAUUGUAUUGUCACUGUGUAUGAUCUUCAGAACUAAUGAACUAAUGAUAUCUCUGUAAUAUAUGUACGUCUGUAUAGAUAUUUUUCUUUCAGAGCUAAUGCUAUCUUGUGAAUUUCGCACCUGUGUUAGCUAAUCCCUUGGUUGAGUUGUCUUUCCAACCGAAAAUUGUACUGGAGGGCUCUACAACACUUGAUUCUGUUUUAGUUGCAACCAAGUAUCUACUUUAUUUAAGUUUGUCGAUAAAGCUGAUUUUCCUGAUCCUGUAAUCCUUGUUCUGUCAAGCCAAACAUCUCAUUUUAUUUAAGUUUGCAUGACUGUAUUUUUUAUUUGUCUUUUUCUAAAGUUUUAUGAACACUUUUGUUUUUCUGCCGAGCACUAACAAAGAGCAAAUUGUGAUCUUAUUUUAACAGGGAGCAAACUGCGUAGCAAGAUCAAUAAUGAAUGGUUCAAGUCAUGUAUUACAAGUUACAAUGAGCAGGAGGUAGUCAAGUCAGUUGAUGAUAAGGAUAUUAUUCGAACAUUUACUGCAAUGACGUCUCGGAAAGGGCAUUUGCCUUGUGAUUGUCUUUAGUGCGCUAUUGGUAUUCGUGCCUUCUAUGAUUUUGGCAACAUGGCGAGCUUGCAGCAGGGGUCAGAGAAGGGCGCGUUGUGACGGACCUCCGCUCCUCUGCGGAUGCCUAAGCAGCGAUGAGACGCUUCACGGAAUCGAGUCUAUGAGUCUCUCUGCAUGCGCUGCGGCGAGAGUAUAAGUGCCUUGAUCUGUGGCACAGCUCCUAACCCCAUUCCCUUUGGUUUCGGCUUGACUCAUUGUGAAUUCUGAUGCGUACUUUCUUUUGGUCAGGGCACCAUGAGGUUGCUGCUGACUACGAUUCCCAACUUCCAGGAGAUAAGGUUCAUCGCACUCUGUUCUCGUUGCGAAAGCUUAUUGUUUUGAUUUUAAAACGGUGGUAGAUAUGCGUUUGUAAAUUUGCAGGUCGUUGUGAUGGCUUUUGAAUGCCCGCAAUGUAAUGAAAGGUAAUGCAAUACUCGUCGGGGUACUUUUGCACAUGCAAGCGCAGUAUCUUAAGUUUUGUGUGCUUGUGAACUAGGAACUACGAGGUCCAGUUUGCUGGACAGUUCCGGCCUAAUAACCAAAGAUGAUGUGUGGCUAGAAAUGACAUGAUGUCUCGUUUAGCAUGGCUGUUGUUCUGAACUGUAAACUACACCAGAGCGUUGUGUGCAGAUAAUUGACGGGAAGGAGCUCCUGAUGGGAAGGACAUACACUGACAAUCAUCAUGUGAAGAAGGCUGUUACUACAGUUGAAGCGCCAAGCAAGAUUCCGUAAUGGGAAAUCUGCAAGUUCUAAACCAUCUCUGAUUUGAGUAGGUCAAGCAAUUGAAUGAUUGGAAAUAUGUAACUACAUUACCAUCUCGGACUAAUCAACCAUUUGAAAGACAUUAUGUGCUCGGGGAGCAAAAACUUUUGGGCAGACACCUUGGUGGUUUUUUCGUACUAUUAAGGAGGCACCAUUGCAACCUGAACAAGGUUUGUGAGCACCUAGCUUAAUCCUUCUGUAUGGAUCCUACAAGCAGAAGUCAUCCACAUCACGUUUUAAUAUUCUGGAGUAUUAUUUCAUCCCUAGCUCCACUUGCUGCUCAAAACCUGUGCAUACCAUAGUUUGACAACCAGCAGACCCCUAGAAUCUGUUGCAUGGAGUGAGCUACCUUUUUUUUGCGGGAUCAUGGAGUGAGCUACCAAAUAGACAUGUAACAAAAACAAUAUUUUCUUUCAUCUUGAUAUAAAUAUAAUUGUGCUAUUGGGUCUUUAGUGGAA